UGGGGAAUAUUGGACAAUGGGCGAAAGCCUGAUCCAGCCAUGCCGCGUGUGUGAAGAAGGUCUUCGGAUUGUAAAGCACUUUAAGUUGGGAGGAAGGGCAUUAACCUAAUACGUUAGUGUUUUGACGUUACCGACAGAAUAAGCACCGGCUAACUCUGUGCCAGCAGCCGCGGUAAUACAGAGGGUGCAAGCGUUAAUCGGAAUUACUGGGCGUAAAGCGCGCGUAGGUGGUUUGUUAAGUUGGAUGUGAAAGCCCCGGGCUCAACCAGGGAACUGCAUCCAAAACUGGCAAGCUAGAGUACGGUAGAGGGUGGUGGAAUUUCCUGUGUAGCGGUGAAAUGCGUAGAUAUAGGAAGGAACACCAGUGGCGAAGGCGACCACCUGGACUGAUACUGACACUGAGGUGCGAAAGCGUGGGGAGCAAACA
rnacentral:rRNA from 1 species